GCCCGCCAGGGAGAUGGCAUGCCUCCCGCUCCGACUUGCGUACGGGGCGAACCACCUUCGGGUUGAUGAUGCCUGCACCACC
rnacentral:ncRNA from 1 species